rnacentral:rRNA from 1 species
AGAACUCCGCAGUUAAGCACGCUUGGGCUAGAGUACUACUAGGAUGGGUGACCUCCCGGGAAGUCCUAGUGUUGCACCCU